rnacentral:rRNA from 1 species
UUAUUGGGCGUAAAGGGCUCGCAGGCGGUUUCUUAAGUCUGAUGUGAAAGCCCCCGGCUCAACCGGGGAGGGUCAUUGGAAACUGGGAAACUUGAGUGCAGAAGAGGAGAGUGGAAUUCCACGUGUAGCGGUGAAAUGCGUAGAGAUGUGGAGGAACACCAGUGGCGAAGGCGACUCUCUGGUCUGUAACUGACGCUGAGGAGCGAAAGCGUGGGGAGCGAACAGGAUUAGAUACCCUGGUAGUCCACGCCGUAAACGAUGAGUGCUAAGUGUUAGGGGGUUUCCGCCCCUUAGUGCUGCAGCUAACGCAUUAAGCACUCCGCCUGGGGAGUACGGUCGCAAGACUGAAACUCAAAGGAAUUGACGGGGGCCCGCACAAGCGGUGGAGCAUGUGGUUUAAUUCGAAGCAACGCGAAGAACCUUACCAGGUCUUGACAUCCUCUGACAACCCUAGAGAUAGGGCUUUCCCUUCGGGGACAGAGUGACAGGUGGUGCAUGGUUGUCGUCAGCUCGUGUCGUGAGAUGUUGGGUUAAGUCCCGCAACGAGCGCAACCCUUGAUCUUAGUUGCCAGCAUUCAGUUGGGCACUCUAAGGUGACUGCCGGUGACAAACCGGAGGAAGGUGGGGAUGACGUCAAAUCAUCAUGCCCCUUAUGACCUGGGCUACACACGUGCUACAAUGGACAGAACAAAGGGCUGCAAGACCGCAAGGUUUAGCCAAUCCCAUAAAUCUGUUCUCAGUUCGGAUCGCAGUCUGCAACUCGACUGCGUGAAGCUGGAAUCGCUAGUAAUCGCGGAUCA